UGGGGAAUAUUGGGCAAUGGGCGCAAGCCUGACCCAGCAACGCCGCGUGAAGGAAGAAGGCUUUCGGGUUGUAAACUUCUUUUGUCAGGGACGAGUAGAAGACGGUACCUGACGAAUAAGCCACGGCUAACUACGUGCCAGCAGCCGCGGUAAUACGUAGGUGGCAAGCGUUAUCCGGAAUUACUGGGUGUAAAGGGAGCGCAGGCGGGAUAGCAAGUCAGCGGUGAAAUGCAUGGGCUUAACUCAUGAGCUGCCGUUGAAACUGUUAUUCUUGAGUGGAGUAGAGGCAGGCGGAAUUCCGAGUGUAGCGGUGAAAUGCGUAGAUAUUCGGAGGAACACCAGUGGCGAAGGCGGCCUGCUGGGCUCUAACUGACGCUGAGGCUCGAAAGUGUGGGGAGCAAACAGGAUUAGAUACCCUGGUAGU
rnacentral:rRNA from 1 species